AAAAUGUGGAGACCGAAUGAAAGCUGCUAACUUUACAUUCAAGUGGUUAAAAUCCAUUUCCAUUUUA
rnacentral:tRNA from 1 species